AAAAAAAAAAAAGGAAGAAAAUACAGACAUUGAUGAUUCAGAGUCAAAAGUGAUUCAGAGACAGACUCUGAAUGUGAAGACAUUUUGGACUACCCUACCUAAAUAGUUUUCAUUAUAUUUUCCUUUUAUUAAAGCACAAGUGUGAUAUGAUAAAAAUCAAUGUUCAGGUUCAAUGAGAAUAGUCAUAUUUGUAUAUAUAUGCCUCAUAAUUUAUAUAGUCAACUCAUUUUGAUCAUUAUAAUAACGUUGUGACAUUAGUAGCAAAAUAUUAUCUCCAAUUUUACCUCUGGGAAAAAUAAGGCAGAUUAAAUACUCAACCAUGGAAUCAGGACUCAUCCUAAUUAAGUCUCAUCCUAAUUAAAUCUUCUAGAAUAAGCCUAAAAUCCUUCUUUUCCCUCUAAAAUUUCAAGACUUGUAUCAAUUUUAGAGCCACUGUUUGUUUCUUUCUGAGAGCCACUGUUUUUAUUUUAUUUAUUUAUUUUUUUGAGACUGAGUUUUGCUUUUAUCGCCCAGGCUGGAGUACAAUGGCGUGAUCUCAGCUCACUGCAACCUCCGCCUCCUGGAUUCAAGUGAUUCUCCUGCUUCAGCUUCCUGAGUAGCUGGGAUUAUAGGUGGCCGCCACCACACCCAGCUAAUUUUUGUGUUUUUAGUAGAGAUGGGUUUUCACCAUGUUUGCAGGCUGGUCUCAAACUCCUGACCUCAGGUGAUCCACCUACCUUGGCCUCCCAAAGUGCUAGGAUUACAGGCAUGAGCCACCACGCCCGGCCGAGAACCACUGUUUUUAAAAAAUUGAGCAAAUUUGGUGAGAUUGAUGAUAAUAUAAUUCGGAAUGAAUACUGAACAUGACUCCUUUUUGGCAAGGGAAGUCAACUAUCAGAAUUGUAACAAAUCACUAUUACACACAGCCUAGUACUUUGCAUAGCAAAGUACAUAAAAGGUACUAAAUAAAUAAUAGGAGUUGUAUUACUCAGGGCAAUUAACACUGACUAUCCCAGCAGUCAGACUCUAAAUCCUCAGUGGUUUAAACAACAAACAUUUAUAUCUCACACAUGUCAUCUAUCUAGCACAGGUUGGCAAGCAGUGAAAGUUCAGUGUUGCUCAACUCCUCACCUUCACUCAGUGCUAUGGUUUGAAUGUUUGUGUCCCCUCCAAAAUUCAUGUAGGAACUUAAUGCCCAAAGUUAUAUUAACUAUUAAAAGGUGGGACCUUUAUGAGGUGAGUAAGUCAUGAGUGCUCCACCCUCAUGAAUGGAAUUAAUGCUUUAUAAGGGAGGCUUUACACAGCAUUUCUCUCUUUUUACCCUUCCAUCCCUUCCACGAUGUGAGGACGAGGAGCCACUGGAAGCACAGACAUCAAACUAGAAUAGACUAGACUAGAUAUCAGACCUAUUGUUGCCUUCAUUUUGGAAAUCUCAGCCUCCAGAACUGUAAAAAAUGCAUUUCUAUUAUUUAUACAUUACCCAUUCUCAGGGUUUUUGUUUGUUUGUUUUUUGUUUUUUUGAGAUAGUCUCGCUUUGUUGCUUAGGCUGGAGUACAGUGGUGCUCACUGCAACCUCCGCCUCCCCGGUUCAAGCAGUUCUUUUGCCUCAGCCUUCCCAGUAGUUGGGAUUACAGGUGUGUGCCACUAUGCCCAGCUAAUUUUUUGUAUUUUUAGUAGAGACAGGGUUUUGCCAUGUUGGCCAGGCUGGUCUCGAACUUCUGGCCUCAGGUGAUCCACCUGCCUCGGCCUCCCAAAGUGCUAGGAUUACAGGCAUGAAUCACCGUGCCCUUUGGGAGGCCAAGAUGGGUGGAUAACCUAUGGUCAGGAGUUCCAGACCAGCCUGGCCAAUAUGGUGAAACCCUAUCUCUACUAAAGUACAAUACUUCCUCAGAUGGAAAUGAGGAAAAUGGUAUUAGAAACUGGAGGAAAAGCCAUUCUUGUGGCAAAGAACUUGACUGAAUUGUUUCUGUGUCCUAACGUUUUAUGAAUGGCAGAACUUGUGAGUGAUGAACCAGGAUAUUUGGCAGAAUUAUCUGAGCAAAGUGUUGAAGGUUCUGCAUGGCUUCUUUUGAUUGCUUAUAGUAAAAUGUAAGAAGGGAGAAAUGAAUUAAAGAUAGAACUAAAAGGGAAGCAGAAGAUUUGGAAACUUCUCAGCCUGGUGUUAAAGAAAAAUCUGAGGCACAAGAGUUUAUUUGAGUGAGAUGCAAUUCAUGAGUUGGGGAACACCAGACUAAAAGAAGUUUAGUGUCCCAAUGAUGAAAUGUCAGGUAUUUAUUGGGAAAAUGGAGAAGCAAAAUAAAUUAUUUGAUUGGCUUCCAAUUACAAAAUUCCUUUUUUUAGGUACUUGUUGGCAAGCCCCUAAUCACAUAAUCAUACUUAUCAUGGCUGGGGUUGAGUUUUAGUUUUGUCUAGCAUGAACCAUCAGAAAUUACCCAACUUAAGUUUUUGCAGUUUAAGCAAGAUUUAGGUUAUUUUUUAUUUUAUUUUUUAAUUUUUUUGAGACAGAGUCUCUCUCUGUCGCCCAGGCUUCAGUGCAGUGGUGCGAUGUCGGCUCACUGCAAGCUCUACCUCCCAGGUUCACGCCAUUCUCCUGCCUCAGCCUCCAGAGUAGCUGGGACUACAGGCACCCGCCAUGACGCCCAGCUAAUUUUUUUGUAUUUUUAGUAGAGACGGGGUUUCACCGUGUUAGCCAGGAUGGAGAUUCAGGUUAUUUUUAAGGCCUCUGGUUUUGUCUGCUCAAAAAGUUUUCUGGCCAAGUCUCCAUUUUAAUUUAAACACUGGCAGGGUUGCAAAGCAUAUUUCAGAAAGCAUACCAAGGAUGUGGCCAAGAGGCUAUUUGAUAAAAUUAAUAGGGAUAGGAGGAAGCCAGAUGCUAUUCUCAGGACAAUGGAACAAUGACCCUGAAGGCAUUUCAGAGAUCUCUGAGGCUGCUACUCCCAUCACAGGCCCAGAGUGCUAGUGCCUUGAGGGAAGAAAGGCUUCAAAGGAGGGACCUUGGGGCUCUCAAUAUUGCCUCAAGUCUGUUCCCUGCAUUCAGGUGCAGAACUCCUUGGCUGCCCCAGCUGUGGUUCAAGUGGGCCCAAGUGAGGCUUGGGCUGCUGCUCCAGGAGGCACAAGCGAUAAACUUCAGUGGGAUCCUUGUGCUGCCAGCUCUGCAGGCAUGCAGACUGCAACACUUGUGGAGGCAUUGCUACCUCCACCUAGAUUUCAAAGGCUCUCUCUGAAAGCCUCAGGGCCCAGGUAGAGAGCUGCCAGGGAUACUGCAGAGAACCUCCACUAGGCAAUGUCAAAUGGAGUUGUGGGUUAAGGCCAUUGUAGAGAGCCCUGUCAAGUACAGUAUCUAGUGGGGCCAUGGGGAAGGGUCAGCUCUACUCCCCCAACCCCUGGCAAGACCCAAAACCUAGAGAGCCACCAGUGUGCAGCAUCAGUCAGGGAGAGCUGCAGCAUGGGCUAUGCCCAGUGAUGCCAUAGGAAUGCAGCUGUCCAGGGCUUUGGGGGCCCAACCCUCACCCCAGGGUGUCCAGAAGGUCGCACAUAGAGUCAAAGAUUGUUUUUCUGAAGCUUCAAGAUUUAAAGUUUGCCUUGUUGGAUUUUGGACUUACUUGAGACCUGUUACCCAUUUCUUCUUGCCUAUUGCUCCCUUUUAGAAUGGGAAUGUCUGUCGUAUGCCUGUACACCAUUGUAUUUUGGAAGCACAUAACUUGAUUUCACAGGCUCACAACGGGAGAGGAAUUUGCCUCAUGAUGAAUUGUACCUUGAGUCACAUCCAAAUGUUAUGAAGAUGAUAUUUAGAUGAGACUUCAGAGUCAGACUCUAAAGUUGAUGCUGGAACAAGUUAAGACUUUUGAUGUUAUUGGGAUGGAAUGAUUAUAUUUUGUAAGUAAGAAGGACAUAUAUUUUGGGGGGCCAGGGGUGGAAUUCUACAGUUUGUGUCUCCUCCAAAACUCAUAUUGAAAUUUAAUCUACAAUGAAACACUCUUUAAGAGGUAGGGCCUUCAGAGGGUAGGCCCUGAGGGCUCCACUCUCACAGUGCUUUAGAAGAGGACUUGAGGGGGUGGGUUUGCCCCUUCUGUCUCUUCCUCCAUGUAAGGACACAGAUUUCAGACCCUCUGAAAAAUGCAGCAACAAGGCAUUAUCUACUAGUGGCUUGAUAUUGGACUUUGCAGACUCCAGAACUGUGAGAAACGAAUUCCUAUUAUUUGUAAAUUAUCUAGUCUUAGGUAUGUUGCUAUAGCAGCACAAACGGACUAUGAGACUCAGUAACCAAAAUGACUCAAAUUAUAUCUUGUGGCUGAACCAUGUGGAAUAUUAACCUCUGGGGUUGUGUGACAGGUAAUAACAGGGUUGGGGAGCACAUUAGCUUAUACCUUCCUCAGCCUAAAAAUGAUACAUGUCAUUUCCUUGAUAGGCCAUUAGCUUGCUGUAAUCACAUGAUCCAAACCUAACUGUAAGGGAUGCUGGGAAAAGCAGGGGAGCAGUGGAAUAUUUGAUGAGUACUGUUUAUACAACAGCAGUUCUAUAAAUAUUUCCUUGAGGGCAAGAAUCUGUUUUAUUUACUGAUAUUCCCAAACAUCUAGAAAAGUGCCUGACAUUUAGUGUUCACUAAUAAUUACUGAAUCAAUUAAUUGAUGAAUUAAUAAAUGGCAUGUGAAGCUGGUAUGAAUCUAUUCUGAAAAGUUGCCAGAUAGAAUGAUAUGCAAGUUCAGGUUAAUAUUUCAGCAACAAUUAGUGUUAACAAGAAAAAGGUAUUUUGGUAAGAAUUUAUUUGAAGUUGACUAACAUUCUCAAAUGUAGUUACAGAUUACAUAACAUCUUUUUUACAGGAGCUUAACAGUUCUUUAAAUUGACAAAAAUGUGAGGAAAGACAACAGUUAAUUCUAAAAGCCAGUUUGGAUUUUUUGUUUCAUUUAAAAACAAACAGCCUGUGGCCGGGCACGGUGGCUCACACUUGUAAUCCCAGCACGUUGGGAGGCCAAGGUGGGCAGAUUACAAGGUCAGGAGUUCGAGACCAGCCUGGCCAACAUGGUGACACCCCAUCUCUACUAAAAUUACAAAAAUUAGCUGGGCGUGGUGGUGCGCACCUGUAGUCCCAGCUCCUCGGGAGGCUGAGGCAGAAGAAUCGCUUGAACCCAGGAGGCGGAGGUUGCAGUGAGCCGAGAUCGCGCCACUGUACUCCAGCCUGGGCCACACAGUGAGACCCUGUCUCAAAAAAGAAAACAAAAUGAACAGCCUGCAGUCUUCCUAGAAAUGACUGUUUAGGGAGUUGGGAACAGCUUGCCAUGGAGAGAAUUUAAGAUUGUCAUAAUAGGAAAAGGUAAGGAGUAGCGAGGUAGGGGGAAACAUUCAAUAAACAGCAGUCCUUUUCACUCUAAUAGAAAAACCUGUUCUCAGUUUUACCAGCAUAUUUAGAAAGGCACAAAGAGUUCAAUAUUGGAGUUUUCAGAAAGGAAUCUCAAAGUGAUUAUGAGAUGUAAUCAUUCAUCUUUCAUUCAUCAUCCAAAUAGGUACAAAGCACAAUGCCCAAGAUUGUGCUAAGAAUCGAGGUGCAAAAGAUAGGAUUUCUAUGCUAAUGAAACUUCUAGUCUAAUUGGGAAGAUAGACAUUGAACAACUAUUACAAUAAGCGUGACAUUGGUUGCAAAAAGGGAAGUGCCAGGUGCUAUAAAGUGACAGACUGGGGAACUACGGGUUUUGGGCAGUAGAAAAGUAGGAUCUGAAACAAUCUCAAGAAAUUGAUGUUUCAACUUAACUCCAAAAGAUAAGGACGAUUUAUUUGGCAAUGGAAAAGUGAGGGGAAGACAACUCCAGACGGUGGGAAUAGCCUGUCCUCACAACCCUACUAUGAAGUCACACAGGAUUACAUGCUUAAUUAUAUAGCUGGAGAAGUUGCAGAAGAAGAAAGUGACUUGUUCAAGGGACACUGUUUAACAGGGCACUUAAUUAGGACCAUAGGCCGCAUUCCUAACCUUUUUAGGGCAAGGCACACAAUUCUCUUUCUAAGGAAGACUCUCUUUCCUCACCAAAAUAGUAGCUGAGUCAAUCACUCCUAUAGCCCAUCAGGCACAUCAACCAAGCAUGAGCUAUACUGAUAUAAAAGAUAUCAAUUUAUAAUCUGUCCCACAGCUUUCAGGAUGAGAACUAAAGAGCCCUAAAGGUCUCUCAUGUAGGAAGAGGGUGGUGUGUAGUGGCAGAGAGGGAAGCUUCAUCAGUGAGAGCCAAGUGCUAAAAGCAGCUGCGUGUGACAUUUCCGUCAGCAGUCCUUCCUCCCUCAUUGUGUAUGAGACACACAUCAGAUGCUCUGGUUUAUGAUUUCAGCUUCAGAGUACAUACCCUUUGAGAUCCAAGCUCACAUAUCUCUUCCGGUGGCAUGGUGCCUUUUUAUUAACUGGCUUUAAAACCCAUCUCGGAGUAGUAACUACCCAAAUGCUGAGAAUAUUGGGACCCCUUUCUCCUACCCUCAUGGUUUGGAAACGUGUGGACUGGUUGACUCUCAGGCCCUAGGUGCCUGCCUAGUCUCCCUGCUUGCUAGAAAGUGACAAAGCACAUGCUACCAAAAAGAUUCUGCACAGAUGCCAGAAUCAUGUCAGAACACAAGGUCACAUACAGUACUGUCUUCCCCAUUUAUAUCAGCCCAGAGGACAAUCUACUCUCUUACCUUUGGAAGACAAAAUAGAGGCUAACUUUUGGAGGUCCUAGACUUAAAAGAGCUCUACUUGCCAGCUCCUGCAUUAUACAUAAAUAGAAAGGAAGAAAGAUGAGCUAAAGAUCCUGGAAAGUAGAAAAUCCAAUUGUUAUUCUGGAUUCUAAACAUUACCUGUGUGGCCUUGGAUAAACUUGAAUCUUUUCAUAUAUAAAACAAAGGAAGUUGAAUUAAAUUAUUUCUAACCCACCCUCCAGUUGAAUAUUCUAUGAUUUCAUCUGACAAACCCUCCCUCUUUUCAUCCUUGUUGUGUGUGAAAUGCUCCAUCACUCAUCACAGAUGCUUAAAAUAAAAUAGCUCUCUCUCUGUA